rnacentral:misc_RNA from 1 species
GGACCACAAGUAACAGUUUCACAAAAAAGCACCGAAAGCCAACGUACUUGGUAUUCUAAUAACACAACAAACCUUAAGACUGCUAAAAAUCAUGUCACAGAAGCAUUGUGAAAAGCAACUUUGUUUCCAUAGGACAUCCAAACACACUCUAAGCCACAAGUCAUGCCAUAACAUAAACCAGGUUUAAGAACAAAUAUCCAAUAUUUAACCUAAUGCAGCUGCUGAUUGAGUACAAACUUGACAUCAUUAAAACUCUAUUAGCCAACUUUCAGGACUAAAAUGCCAUUGCAACCUCCUCCAUUCUGGUGCAUGAAGGCUUCAAUUUGAACACCAUCCUUGAGAUUGAGUUCAGCUGGUGUUUUCUUAUCUUUGAAGCGUUUGCCUUUGAUUAAAAACACCACAUUAUCAUAUUCCAAUUGCUUGUAUUCACAAAAACAACGAAGGAGCUUGGAGAUUGGGGUAUCCAUCUUGAUUUUAUAACACUUUUCUUCUCCAUCCUAUAUAUAAAUAAAAGAUGAAAACAGAACAGAGCACAGAGCACGUCACUUCACAACAGCUUAAAAUGAAAAAUCUCAUAGCUGAACAGUAGAGCUCACUAAAAUCAUGAAAAUAAACAUUCCACUGCAAACAUAUUUAAGUGGAUUAAGGAAUCUGGAUAGGAUCUUAGUUACCAACAUGGUUCCCCUGCACAGAGAUAAUACAAUUUGCAGCCAUCAUGUCACUUGACCCAUCACCCAUGAGCCCUAAGUUUUCUAACCUUAUGAGGUGGGUUGAAGUAGCAAUCUUUCAAAUACUGGGUGGAGUACACAGAACACUCACCCAA